AACGCACGAGACCUGCGGACCUGCGGAAGGAUCAUUAAUGAGAAACUGCCCCUCGCGGGUAGAUCUCCCACCCUUUGUAAACUUACCUUUGUUGCUUUGGCAGGCCCGUCUCCGGACCGCCGGCUUCGGCUGGCCAGUGCCUGCCAGAGGAUUCUAAAACUCUGUCUGUCAGUGUUGUCUGAGUCUAUAUACAAUCGUUAAAACUUUCAGCAAUGGAUCUCUAGAUCGGAAGAGCACACG
rnacentral:misc_RNA from 1 species